rnacentral:rRNA from 1 species
CCUACGGGGGACAGCAGUGAGGAAUAUUGGUCAAUGGACGAGAGUCUGAACCAGCCAAGUAGCGUGAAGGAUGACUGCCCUAUGGGUUGUAAACUUCUUUUAUAAAGGAAUAAAACGAGGCACGUGUGCCUUUUGCAUGUAAUUUAUUAAUAAGGAUCGGCUAAAUCCGUGACCACAGCCGCGGUAAUACGGGGGAUCCGGGCGUUAUCCGGGUUUAUUUGGUUUAAAGGGAACGUAGAGGGGUUGUUAAGUCAGUUGUGAAAGUUUGCGGCUCAACCGUAAAAUUGCAAUUGAUACUGGCAGUCUUGAGUACAGUUGAGGUAGGCGGAAUUCGUGGUGUAGCGGUGAAAUGCUUAGAUAUCACGAAGAACCCCGAUUGCGAAGGCAGCUUACUAAACUGUGACUGACAUUGAUGCUCGAAAGUGUGGGUAUCAAACAGGAUUAGAUACCCUUGUAGUC